CUUAUGUGUGUUUCCUGGAGACAUCAGAAGAUUGGAUUCUGUUUUCUAAUACAACCUGCUUCUCUGUGUCUUUUGACUGGAAGGAUCCAGGUAAAGUGGACAUAAAAGAAGACCAAAGGGUGCAGUUUCAGGAUGAGGUUUUGACCAGGAAAGUCCUACCUGUUAGCUUCUAACUUUCAAGUGGCACAAACUUCAGUAAA